AGAGAACCUGUGAAAAAAAACGGAUUUAAAAUCAAAUCCGGGUUGACCAUGGAAAAGAGUUCUAUAUGUGCCUGUAUACCCAAGAGCUGCUGUCCAGACACAGAUACAAUAUAAACAGGCAACCAUAUGUACAGACAAAAUCAUCAAGGAACCUCAAAGUUGAGCGAAUAUGGCCAGAAAUAAAUAACAGAGUCAACUAUCCCCUGAAAGAAGCCCUGCUGCAACUUCAAGACCAAGAGGUGAUCAACAUGGAGGACAACACAACUAGAUUUUGUGUAUCCAAUCUCACUUGUCAGGUUUCCUCAAUUGGGCUUGAACGAACUGUGCUAUCAUGGAAUGCACAUAGGAUUGCAGGAAAAGGAAUACCAAACAUCUUGGCUGAAGGUGGGUGUCCAGCAAAGAUUUCC